rnacentral:rRNA from 1 species
CAGCCGCCGCGGGAAUACGUAGGGUGCAAGCGUUAAUCGGAAUUACUGGGCGUAAAGCGUGCGCAGGCGGUUAUAUAAGACAGAUGUGAAAUCCCCGGGCUCAACCUGGGAACUGCAUUUGUGACUGUAUAGCUAGAGUACGGCAGAGGGGGAUGGAAUUCCGCGUGUAGCAGCGAAAUGCGUAGAUAUGCGGAGGAACACCGAUGGCGAAGGCAAUCCCCUGGGCCUGUACUGACGCUCAUGCACGAAAGCGUGGGGAGCAAACAGGAUUAGAUACCCGUGUAGUCCCUGUCUCUUAUAC